rnacentral:rRNA from 1 species
CCUACGGGAGGCAGCAGUGAGGAAUAUUGGUCAAUGGCCGGAAGGCUGAACCAGCCAUGCCGCGUGAAGGUCAGUGCCCUAUGGGCGUUAAACUUCUUUUGUGCGGGAGCAAUAAUGGUCACGUGUGGCCAGACGAGAGUACCGUACGAAUAAGCAUCGGCUAACUCCGUGCCAGCAGCCGCGGUAAUACGGGGGAUGCAAGCGUUAUCCGGAUUUAUUGGGGUUAAAGGGUGCGUAGGCUGGGAGGUAAGUGAGCAGUGAAAUGCCCCCGCUCAACGGGGUGAAGUGCCAUUGAUACUGCCUUGCUGGAAUGCGGAUGCCGUGGGAGGAAUGUGUGGUGUAGCGGUGAAAUGCAUAGAUAUCACACAGAACACCGAUUGCGAAGGCAUCUCACGAAUCCGCGAUUGACGCUGAUGCACGAAAGCGUGGGUAUCAAACAGGAUUAGAUACCCCAGUAGUC